CCUACGGGGGGCAGCAGUAGGGAAUCUUCGGCAAUGGACGGAAGUCUGACCGAGCAACGCCGCGUGAGUGAAGAAGGUUUUCGGAUCGUAAAGCUCUGUUGUAAGAGAAGAACGAGUGUGAGAGUGGAAAGUUCACACUGUGACGGUAUCUUACCAGAAAGGGACGGCUAACUACGUGCCAGCAGCCGCGGUAAUACGUAGGUCCCGAGCGUUGUCCGGAUUUAUUGGGCGUAAAGCGAGCGCAGGCGGUUAGAUAAGUCUGAAGUUAAAGGCUGUGGCUUAACCAUAGUACGCUUUGGAAACUGUUUAACUUGAGUGCAGAAGGGGAGAGUGGAAUUCCAUGUGUAGCGGUGAAAUGCGUAGAUAUAUGGAGGAACACCGGUGGCGAAAGCGGCUCUCUGGCUUGUAACUGACGCUGAGGCUCGAAAGCGUGGGGAGCAAACAGGAUUAGAUACCCGUGUAGUC
rnacentral:rRNA from 1 species